GCUCAGGAUGAACGCUAGCUACAGGCUUAACACAUGCAAGUCGAGGGGCAGCAUUUCAGUUUGCUUGCAAACUGGAGAUGGCGACCGGCGCACGGGUGAGUAACACGUAUCCAACCUGCCGAUAACUCGGGGAUAGCCUUUCGAAAGAAAGAUUAAUACCCGAUGGCAUAAUUAGACCGCAUGGUCUUAUUAUUAAAGAAUUUCGGUUAUCGAUGGGGAUGCGUUCCAUUAGGCAGUUGGUGAGGUAACGGCUCACCAAACCUUCGAUGGAUAGGGGUUCUGAGAGGAAGGUCCCCCACAUUGGAACUGAGACACGGUCCAAACUCCUACGGGAGGCAGCAGUGAGGAAUAUUGGUCAAUGGGCGCAGGCCUGAACCAGCCAAGUAGCGUGAAGGAUGACUGCCCUAUGGGUUGUAAACUUCUUUUAUAUGGGAAUAAAGUUUUCCACGUGUGGAAUUUUGUAUGUACCAUAUGAAUAAGGAUCGGCUAACUCCGUGCCAGCAGCCGCGGUAAUACGGAGGAUCCGAGCGUUAUCCGGAUUUAUUGGGUUUAAAGGGAGCGUAGGUGGACAGUUAAGUCAGUUGUGAAAGUUUGCGGCUCAACCGUAAAAUUGCAGUUGAUACUGGCUGUCUUGAGUACAGUAGAGGUGGGCGGAAUUCGUGGUGUAGCGGUGAAAUGCUUAGAUAUCACGAAGAACUCCGAUUGCGAAGGCAGCUCACUGGACUGCAACUGACACUGAUGCUCGAAAGUGUGGGUAUCAAACAGGAUUAGAUACCCUGGUAGUCCACACAGUAAACGAUGAAUACUCGCUGUUUGCGAUAUACAGUAAGCGGCCAAGCGAAAGCAUUAAGUAUUCCACCUGGGGAGUACGCCGGCAACGGUGAAACUCAAAGGAAUUGACGGGGGCCCGCACAAGCGGAGGAACAUGUGGUUUAAUUCGAUGAUACGCGAGGAACCUUACCCGGGCUUAAAUUGCAUUUGAAUAUAUUGGAAACAGUAUAGCCGUAAGGCAAAUGUGAAGGUGCUGCAUGGUUGUCGUCAGCUCGUGCCGUGAGGUGUCGGCUUAAGUGCCAUAACGAGCGCAACCCUUAUCUUUAGUUACUAACAGGUCAUGCUGAGGACUCUAGAGAGACUGCCGUCGUAAGAUGUGAGGAAGGUGGGGAUGACGUCAAAUCAGCACGGCCCUUACGUCCGGGGCUACACACGUGUUACAAUGGGGGGUACAGAAGGCAGCUACCUGGUGACAGGAUGCUAAUCCCAAAAGCCUCUCUCAGUUCGGAUCGAAGUCUGCAACCCGACUUCGUGAAGCUGGAUUCGCUAGUAAUCGCGCAUCAGCCAUGGCGCGGUGAAUACGUUCCCGGGCCUUGUACACACCGCCCGUCAAGCCAUGAAAGCCGGGGGUACCUGAAGUACGUAACCGCAAGGAGCGUCCUAGGGUAAAACUUGU
rnacentral:rRNA from 1 species